AAAUAAGAAGCUAAAUAAGCAUUUAGUUUCGACCUAAAAGAUUGGUAAUAAAAUUACCCUUAUUUA
rnacentral:tRNA from 1 species